AUUUGGUAGCUGUACAUCGGAAUUUUUUAAAAUGUAUGCUAAAGGUCAUACGAUUCCAUCCUUCAUUCUUUUUUGUAAACUUAUCGAUUUUUAAAAAAAGAAAAAAAAAAAUCAUCAAAGUUUGUUUGGUCUUUACAGGUACUCCGACUCUUGGACAGUCUUCAUAUAAACUUUCUGUUGUGGAAACUGCAGAGUUAAUACUGUGGCUCGCGUCCUCUGUGCUGACCUCAUGGUGUAACCACGAGUAAAGAUGAGCAUAAGCAGUGAUGAGGUCAACUUCCUCGUUUACAGAUACCUGCAGGAGUCUGGCUUCUCCCAUUCAGCGUUCACGUUUGGUAUAGAGAGCCACAUCAGCCAGUCGAACAUCAACGGCGCCCUGGUGCCCCCUGCUGCUCUCAUCUCCAUCAUACAGAAGGGCCUGCAGUACGUGGAGGCAGAAGUCAGCAUCAACGAGGAUGGCACCCUGUUUGACGGCCGGCCGAUCGAAUCGCUCUCGCUUAUUGAUGCAGUGAUGCCCGACGUGGUGCAGACGCGACAGCAGGCCUACCGGGAUAAGCUGGCCCAGCAACAGGCCGCUGCAGCACCCCCUGCUGCCACCAGCUUGCAGGGCAGCGCUAAGAAUGGCGAGAGCACCACCAACGGCGAGGAGAAUGGGGCUCACACCUUAGCAAGUGAUGGGUGUGACGGCACCUUUCUGUGCAGGUCCGGGGACUCGACGGCUCGCAUCUGGAACCUGAGCGAGAACAGUAGCAGCGGCUCCACGCAGCUCGUGCUGCGGCACUGCAUACGAGAAGGAGGGCAGGAUGUGCCGAGCAACAAGGACGUCACGUCACUAGACUGGAAUAGUGAAGGCACACUACUAGCAACUGGCUCUUAUGAUGGAUUUGCAAGAAUAUGGACGAAAGAUGGUAAUCUUGCCAGUACCUUGGGUCAGCACAAGGGUCCUAUUUUUGCCUUGAAGUGGAAUAAAAAAGGAAAUUUCAUUCUCAGUGCUGGUGUUGAUAAGACCACAAUCAUUUGGGAUGCUCACACCGGAGAAGCAAAGCAACAGUUUCCCUUUCAUUCAGCUCCUGCACUGGAUGUGGACUGGCAAAGUAACAACACGUUUGCUUCGUGCAGCACUGAUAUGUGUAUCCACGUGUGUAAACUUGGCCAGGACAGACCCAUCAAGACAUUCCAGGGGCACACAUGUCACAGAGGGCAUUGGCACUUGACUAUGGUUUUAUUACUGAGUUUUAGGGUUUUGGCUUCUUGGCAGAUCUGGAGUAUGAAACAAGACACCUGUGUUCAUGAUUUGCAAGCGCACAGCAAAGAAAUUUAUACUAUUAAAUGGAGUCCCACUGGGCCUGGAACCAACAACCCUAAUGCCAACCUUAUGCUUGCCAGUGCGUCCUUCGACUCGACUGUUCGACUGUGGGAUGUCGACCGAGGGAUCUGCAUCCACACAUUGACCAAACAUCAGGAACCCGUGUACAGUGUUGCCUUCAGCCCAGACGGCAGAUACUUGGCCAGUGGCUCCUUUGACAAGUGUGUCCAUAUCUGGAACACGCAGACUGGUUCUUUAGUUCAUAGCUACAGGGGAACAGGAGGCAUCUUUGAGGUUUGUUGGAAUGCCACAGGGGACAAAGUGGGCGCAAGUGCAUCAGACGGAUCGGUGUGUGUAUUAGACCUGCGGAAAUAACACUGCUUGUUGGAAGCCAUGGACCGACUAUGAAUGUGUACAUAGCCAAAAUUGACUGUCCCUGCCUCGUUUACUGCUGCGGUCCCAUCGGAACCAUGGCCGACCACUACAGCCAAAACAAGCAGAAUGAAGAAGAGAAGAGGGCGCGCUCCUACCCUGUUGUCCACGCUGGGGACACCACCCACUGACGCAAAACCGAUGUUAUGUGUCGACUUGGAAACGGAGGAAUAAGGACCCGUAUACAUGUACCAAAAUCUGAAAGAUUUCUUUUGGUUAGCCAAACCAAGGAUUUUUAUUCUUUAUUGGUAGAUCACUAUGUGUGUGACAUAUCUGCUUCACAUGUGGCAGGAGGAUUUUUUCCUUUCUAAACGUUUUUUUUUUUUUUUUUUUUUUUUUUUUUUAAUUUUAAUUUGAAUUUUUUUGUUUAGGUUACAGCUGCAUGAAAUGGCGGAGUCGAAUCGGCUUCCUCCACUUCUUCUGGAGAGAAUGCAGUUUUAAAAUGUCUUUGGCACUGUACGUAAUAUGGUUCAAACACGUGGGGCUGCUGUUUUUUUAUUUUAUUUUAAUUUUUAAUUUUCCUUUCUCUACUUUUGACUAUGGUUUUACUGUUGACAUACAGGUGCAGCAGAUUUUUUUAAGGGGAUAUUUAUUCUGCGGAAUAUAAAGGAAUACUAAAAAUAAGGUGGGCACAAAAAUUUGAGAAGAUGCAUUAUGCAUCAUUUUGCUUUAAAACCAUAAUUAUGGUUAGAUUGUGCACUAUUGAUAAAGCAACAUAAAAAUGUUCAUUCAUAGAACAUUCUGGACAAAGGAUGACUGCUGUAAGUGUAUUCAGGAAUCUCCCUUCAUUAGUAUAUUGCAGAUAACUUGUUGGUUCACAACAAAAUUAGACUUCAGUAUUAAUCACUGAUGAGGUGUAGCCUAUACGAAAUGUGCAUGGCACAGUUUAUUAAAAACGAACAUUAGAUAGACUAACAUCUACAAUAUAUCACUAGAAAAGGGAAGACUUGCUUUUUUUGAUAAACUUGUAAACUUGAACUUUUCCAGUUAAUGUUUCAUAGUUUUUCAUAUUUAGUUUUUUGACAGAAAUGCAGUAGUGCAGCAUCAAAUGUUGUUUUAAAUAUUAAAAGCUUAAAGCCAGUCUGGGUGCUGGGCAGGUGGAAGAAACUGCAGAGAGUGAUAUGGAACAAGCAUUGUAACCACAUCGAAACCUUAUUCACAGGACAUUGUUUUAUAUAUUACUCAUAAAUAAGGGUAGUUUUAUAGUGUAUUAUUUUGUGCCGUUUAAAACACAAUUGCCAGUGUGUGGAAAUUACACAUUACGUGGAAUGUUUUUACCAGACAGUGGUUCUCUCAGUUGUUGCUUCAGAAAAUCCAAUAAGAUUCUCCUAAAGAGGAUCAUUCUUUUGUCUUCUGUCUCACAUGUCUUUUGGCGGCUGAAACUAUUUUUUUUUUUUUUUUUUUUUAAAUAAAUUGUCCCCAGGAUUUGGCUGUUUAAAAUAU
ensembl:lncRNA